rnacentral:rRNA from 1 species
GCAGGCUGCAACCCGCCUGUAUGAAGUUGGAAUCGCUAGUAAUCGCGGAUCAGCAUGCCGCGGUGAAUACGUUCCCGGGCCUUGUACACACCGCCCGUCACACCAUGAGAGUCGGGAACACCCGAAGUCCGUAGUCUAACCGCAAGGGGGACGCGGCCGAAGGUGGGUUCGAUAAUUGGGGUGAAGUCGUAACAAGGUAGC